rnacentral:lncRNA from 1 species
AUUCGCUGUACUCCAUCCCCCUCAUGGUUGCCUUAUUUGACUUAUAUUGCUGAGGAACCCCCGAAGCAUGUGUUGUCGCCCCGAUGAAAUAUUCUUAGACUAGGUCCCUUAUGUUAGUUGUCUUAGGGACAUAAAAUGAGAAUAACGGGAAUGGGUAAUUAGGUUAUUGUUGGUUGGUGGAAAUUAAAUUUAAUUAUAUAUUGUGGGUUGAAAACCCUAUAUGCUCACCAGGCUCCCAAGCCUGACCCACUCAGUUUUGUUUGUAUUAUAGGAAGUGACGCGAGGGAAUAAGAUGGAUGAACCAUCAACUUGUUUUGUUUACAAGUCUGUAUAUGUAUAUAUUUGUUGAAUGACUUGUAAUGUUAUUGUUUAUGCUUAUUGGUCUGUUUCGGAACAUGACACCCCGAGUUUUGAUUAUAUAAUGAAAAUACAUUUCUUUUAUGAAAUGCUUUGGUAAACAUUGUUUUAUCAUGUUUUGUUUUUGGGAACAAAUUCCGCAACUCUUUCAAAUCAAAAGGAUUUACUCUGAAAUUAUUUUAAAAGCAUAAAUGAAAAUCGGUCUUUUCUGGCCAAGAUUUUGGGGAUGUCACAGUUGGUAUCAGAGCAUUAGUUUAAGCGAACUAGGAAUUUGUAGGAUUUCUAGACUUAAACUUAGAAUGCUAAGUGAAGUUUUGAGAUGUGUGUCUGUUAUGUUUUAGACACGAGCACUAGUUUAUUUUAGGAAAGUUGCCUAAAAUGCUUUAUGUGCUAAAUGUUAUAUGUUGCCAUAUAUGAUAUUAUUUGUUCGGAUCUAUGGUCUGUUGCCGACCGGAUCUAGAAACCUUAUGUGUGUAGGAUUCUAAGCGUACGUCUACGAUAUUAGAACUAGCAUGUAAACGUUUCGGAGUGAUAAGGAUGAUUUGAAUAUCUAUCAUGAUUGAGGAUCUAAUUUCACCUUAUUCGGUGUAGAUCAAAAUGGUGAGAACAAGAAGUGGAGUUGGAAAUGCUGACGAAAACAGGAAUCAACCACCAGUGAUUGAGCAAAUACCUGUCGUAGCAGCAGCACCUGAGCCAAUAACCAUGGCUGGUGUGCAAAUGAUGAUUCAGACGAUGUUGGAUCGUCAGAUGGAUGAAACUAGACGGUUGCUUCAACAGAAUCGUGAAGAACUGUCAAUUCGUGUGGAAGAGCCUGAAUUAAAUGAAGGGCACUCGGAAGGUGGAAACUUCAGUGGGUCUGUUGGUCAAGCCAACCCACCGAUAGUUAGGCAAGAUAACCAUGAUGGAAGGAAUGAUGGAAUGGGAUGCAAGUACAAGGACUUUUUGACUUGCAAACCAUCGACCUUCAAUGGAAAGGAGGAUCCGAUUGGGGUUAUGGAUUGGAUCUCCGAAAUGGAGCUAGCCUUCAUGACGUGUGGCUGCAGAGGUAAGUUGCAAACUAUCUAUGCCGUGCGUCAAUUCCGAGGUGGAGCCGUUCGUUGGUGGAACACUCUAGGGAAGACCUUAAGCCCUAAUGAGCCACUGCAAUUGUCAUGGGCAGAGUUCUUGGUGCAGUUCAAGCGCAAGUUCUGCUCGGCUCAAAAUCUGUUGGAGUUGGAGAACAAGUUUUUGACAUUGACGAAGGGUAGCAUGUCAGUGGAUGAGUACACCAAUAACUUCACCGAUAAGAUGGAGUUUGCCUUGCGUAUCGUUCCAGACGAGCUGACAAAGGUGGAUCGGUAUGCGAAGGGACUUCCAUGGGAGUACGAGGUGCCAGUACGUCAGGCACUUACUCUAGAGGCAGCUAUCUGGGCUGCCAAGUCUGUGGAGAACAUGAUCAAGGGGAGAACCACCGUCAAGGUUGAGGUUGGUGAGAAAAGGAAGUUUGAAGGAACAUCUGGUUCCAGUAAGAAGAGCAAAUUUUCGAAAUCUGAUUCGAAAAAGUUUGGAGGAAAAGGAGGCGAAGCAAAGUGGUGUGAUAAGUGUAAGAAAAAGCACUUUGGGAAAUGUAGCGAGGAUGUGACCUGCUACAAGUGUGGAAAGGUUGGACAUUUUGCCAAUGAAUGUCCGAACAACAAAAGGAUGUGUUUUGGGUGUAAUGAAGAGGGGCAUAUUUUGAAAGACUGUCCGAAGAAGAAGGAGGCAGCUAGGCCCAACAUUCCACCAAAGCCGAAGGCGAGAGCCUUCCAGAUGACACUUGAGGCUGCGAAAGAUGAAGCUGAUGUCGCUUCAGGUACCUUUCUCGUAAACGAAUUACCUGCUCAUAUAUUGUUUGAUUCUGGAGCCAACUACUCCUUUAUUUCGCAUGAGUUUGGUAGAAAGCUAGCUUUGCCUGUUGAUAGACUAAAUAAUGCUUUAUUAGUCGAAGUAGCUAGUGGCAAGUUUGUACCUGUUAGCCAUCGUAUGAAAAACGUCUUGAUCGACCUUAAUGGGAAUAAGUUUCUCGAGGAAUUAUUGCCUAUCGAACUAAAUGGUUUCGACAUCGUCUUGGGAAUGGAUUGGCUUAGCGCCAAUGAUGCCGAAAUUUUGUGCAAGAAGAAGAUAGUUAAAGUAAACCCGCCUGGGAAAGAUUCGUUUAUGGUGUAUGGGGACAAAUGCAGAGUGAAUUUUGGAAUCAUUUCCCUAAUGAAAGCCAGAAAGUGUUUGACCAAGGGAUGUACAUCAUAUUUAGCAUUCGUGAUUGAUGCUAAGAAAGAAAAGAAGGUGAUGCAGAGUAUUCCAGUGGUGUGUGAUUAUCCGGAAGUAUUUCCCGAGGAUCUUCCUGGAUUACCACCUGAUAGACAAGUGGAGUUCAGAAUAGACUUGUUACCAGGAACCACGCCAAUAGCAAAAGCACCUUAUCGAUUAGCACCGACGGAGAUGAAGGAGCUGAUGAUGCAACUUCAGGAGUUAUUGGACAAAGGUUUCAUUAGACCUAGUUCAUCGCCCUGGGGAGCUCCGGUGUUAUUUGUAAAGAAGAAAGAUGGAAGUAUGAGAAUGUGCAUCGAUUACAGAGAGCUGAACAAGGCAACAAUAAAGAAUAGAUAUCCGUUGCCGAGGAUUGAUGACCUGUUUGAUCAAUUGCAAGGUUCGAGCUAUUUCUCGAAGAUCGAUCUUAGGUCAGGAUAUCAUCAGCUGAAAGUAAGAGAGCAAGAUAUCGAGAAGACUGCAUUCAGAACUAGAUAUGGACACUACGAGUUCUUGGUUAUGUCGUUUGGACUAACCAAUGCUCCAGCAGCGUUCAUGGAUUUGAUGAAUAGGGUUUGUAAUCCUUUCCUUGAUAAAUCCGUGAUAGUGUUCAUAGACGACAUUCUGAUCUACUCGAAAAGCCAGGAGGAGCAUGGCAGACACUUGCGAGAAGUGUUAGAAGUUUUGAAGAAGGAGAAGCUUUAUGCGAAGUUCUCCAAAUGUGAUUUUUGGAUUCGUGAGGUCCAAUUCUUGGGUCACGUGGUCAACCAAGAAGGGAUAAUGGUUGAUCCAGCGAAGAUCGAAGCUGUGACGAAGUGGGAACAACCGAAAAGUCCCACGGAGAUUCGAAGCUUUUUAGGAUUAGCCGGAUAUUACCGAAGGUUUAUCCAAGGCUUUUCUUCGAUUGCUACUCCAUUAACAGCUUUGACCCACAAAGGAGCUACUUAUGCUUGGAGUGAGAAGCAUAAAGAAGCAUUCGAGAAGUUAAAGAAGAAGCUAUGCGAGGCACCGAUACUUUCUCUACCCGAUGGAGUUGAAGACUUCGCUGUUUAUAGCGAUGCGUCUGGUGUUGGAUUGGGUUGUGUUUUGACCCAAAGAGAAAAGGUGAUAGCAUAUGCGUCUCGACAGCUGAAAGAGCAUGAAAAGAAUUACCCGACUCAUGAUUUGGAGUUGGCAGCGGUAGUUUUCGCUCUGAAAAUAUGGAGGCAUUACCUCUAUGGCACGAAGUGCAAACUUUUCACUGAUCAUAAGAGUCUCCAAUACCUCUUUAAUCAGAAAGAAUUGAAUAUGAGGCAACGACGCUGGCUAGAAUUACUUAAAGACUACGACUGCGAGAUACUUUACCACCCCGGUAAAGCUAAUGUUGUUGCUGAUGCUCUCAGUCGGAAGGUCAAUCUUGAAAGGAAGAGGCCAAGAGCGUUGAGAAUUGAAGUUGUCUCGACCAUUGUGGAAAGUAUAAAGAAAGCUCAAGAGGAAGCUUCUGAGAAAAAUGACCGAAAGGAGGAACGUUUGGGUAAAACGUUGGUGUUUGGUACUAACGGUCAUGGACUGAAGGUAUUCCAAGAUCGUAUUUGGGUACCUAAGUCAGGAGGAAUUAGGGAUCUUCUGAUGGAAGAAGCUCACAAGACCAUGUACUCGAUUCAUCCGGGUAGCACUAAAAUGUAUAGGGACCUGAAACCCUACUACUGGUGGCCGACGAUGAAGCUUGAUGUUGCAAAGUAUGUGGCCGAGUGUGUGACUUGUGCGAGAGUCAAGACACAACAUCAGAAACCGUACGGGAGUUUAGAACCUUUGCCUGUGCCUAUGGGUAAGUGGGAAGACAUUGCUAUGGAUUUUGUCACUAAACUGCCCAGAACAAAGAAUGGUCACGACAUGAUUUGGGUGGUCGUUGAUCGAUUCACUAAGAGUGCGCAUUUCAUAGCGGCCAGGGAGAAAUGGUCUAUGGAAAAGCUUGCGAAUUCUUACGUGAAGGAAAUUGUGAGGCUUCACGGUGUUCCGUUAACGAUUGUAUCGGAUCGUGAUAGCCGUUUCACCUCAAGGUUUUGGAAAAGUCUACAAGAGGAAAUGGGUACCAAGUUAUGUUUAAGCACAGCUUACCAUCCGCAGACUGAUGGUCAGAGUGAAAGAACAAUACAAACACUUGAAGAUAUGCUGAGAGCAUGUACCUUGGAAUUCCUAGGUAAUUGGGAUGAACAUUUACCGUUGGUAGAAUUUUCCUAUAAUAAUAGUUUUCACUCGAGCAUUAAGAUGGCACCUUAUCAAGCUUUGUAUGGACAGAAGUGUCGUACGCCGUCUUGUUGGCUUGAGGCUGGGGAAAAGCAGUUUAUGGGACCGGAGAUGGUUCAUCAAACUGCUGAAAAGUUGAAAAUAAUUAGGGAAAGAAUGUUAGCAGCUCAAGAUCGUCAAAAGAGCUAUGCUGACAAGAAGCGAAGACCGAUGACUUUUGAGGUUGGAGAUUCGGUUUUGCUUAAAGUCUCGCCGUGGAAGGGACUUAUAAGAUUUGGUAAAAGGGGAAAGUUGAGUCCAAGGUUUAUUGGACCGUUUAAAGUCCUUCAGAGGAUUGGGAAUCAAGCUUACAAGCUCGAAUUACCCGAAGAACUGAAUGGAAUUCACAACACCUUUCAUGUGUGUUAUUUGAGGAAGUUCACGGGAGAAGUUCCCGAUAUAAUUCCAAUUUCUGAAUUGAGAAUUGAUGAGAACAAAAGGUUGAUUGAAGAACCAGAGGCAAUUGUUGACCGAAAGACUAAGAAGUUGCGACGCAAAAUGGUUGGGUUAGUGCUUGUCCGAUGGAAACACACGAAUGGGCCGAAUCUCACCUGGGAGACGGAGAGUGACAUGUUGAGUCGCUAUCCGCAUUUGUUUGUUGAUGUGUGAUUCCGGGGACGGAAUCAUUCUAAGGUGGAGAGAAUUGUAACGCCUGUGUUUCCGGGCUUGCCAUUUUUAGCAAUGUAAUAGUCUAGGUUAACCUUUGUAACCCGUUUUGAAAUAAUAAGAGUGUAUUAUUUGAGUAUUAUGUGUUUUGUGCUUAAUUGCUUAAUUAUGUGGUUUGAUUAAUUAAGAAUAAAAAUAAGCGUCAAAAUUUAAGUGUAAAAUAAACUUGAUAUCUUUGGAUAAUGUUGUAGUAGUUGAAACGAGGUUUCCGAAUAUAUAUAGAACGCCCAAAUCUGACUUCGUAUGAGGAAGUUAUGAUUUAUCGAAGUUUCGGCUUAGCGGUGUGCAGCCUGAAAUACUCGAUUUGAGAUCGAGCGGUUUUUAGCCGAAGCAAUCUAAACGAGGAUCGAAGGUCUCGUUGUUGGUAUCGAAGCGAUAAAAAGUUAGGCGAGAACGGACGUCAAACGAAGAAGUUAUGAAUUUAUAACGAAGUUUUUCUGUCCCGGCCUAUUAAAAAUAAAUAUUAAAAAUAAAUUUAAAAUUAGCCGACGGAGUCUAAACAAAAGUUGUAGAGCGUAGUCUCACCUUCGCGUGGAUAUAAAGAACGUCGAAAACGGAGUUCGUAUGAAGAAGAUAUGAAUUUCCGAAGUUUAUUAAAUAAUUUGUAUUUAAAUUUAAUCUUUAAUUCGGAUGAUUAUCCGAAGGAUUUACCGAUCUGAUCCGAAGUACGCCCCGCGUACACCGAGGGAUGUCGACACUCGCACUCGAGUUCUUCGGAUACGUAAGCAGUGACGAUUUCGGACCUGUACGCGGGGCGUAUAGGCGUACACCCCGCAUACUCCGAGGCUCCAGUCUCCUAUAAAUAGGAUCUGAAGGCAGUCGAGUUCUUUGCUAUUUUUCUCUCUUCUCUCUCCCGUUUUGCAUUGAUUUGCAUGCCAGAAAUACCCCGAAGCCCCGAUAUUAUUAUCGAGCCCCGAGGCAAGUCCCGAGAUCCCGACGAUCCCGAGAAGUGCGGUUCCCGAGCCGAAGCUCUACCCGCGAGAAGUUCAAUUAUUGUGAAGAUCUUCCAGAUCUGCUGAGGAUUACUACUUCUGCAAGUCAUAGUGCUGUCCGAUCAUCUUCUGAUCAAGUGAGUGUAUACUACCUUUCAUAAACACAAUAAUAAUACAAGUAUGGUUCGAGUGUAUUAAGUAUAUUGUUGUUUAUAUGUGUGAGUAUGUAGUUACUUUCUUCUAACGCAUAAUCGUGAAGUAUUUUAUACGAAAUACGUGUUAUGUGUACAUUUUGUGUUAUAUGUGUGAACGUAUAUUCACUCUCUGCUAUCUCAUAGAUCUGAUUUGUUUUCUAUGAAAUACGUGUUAUGUGUGCGUGCCUCAUCUGUUAUGUGGAAUAUGUAUUGAUCAAAGCAUGCUAUAUAGGUUUUUAUUCAUGUAUAAAAAUGUAUAUUUUUAUCUACUAAUAUGUUGGGUAGAACAUGGGUAGAUAGUUGGUGUGUAAUAAAUAGAUGAGAGGCCUCGUUGUUGUUUGAUUCAGUCAUCUAGCAGAUUUUAGAUGAUGACCACAAACUUUUCUAGACAGUCUUGUGGAACAUUAGCAGGUUCGCCACCUGUAGGUGUUAAUGAACUUCGGUGUUCAUUCGCUCUACUCCAUCCCCCUCAUGGUUGCCUUAUUUGACUUAUAUUGUUGAGGAACCCCCGAAGCAUGUGUUGUCGCCUCGAUGAAAUAUUCUUAGACUAGGUCCCUUAUGUUAGUUGUCUUAGGGACAUAAAAUGAGAAUAACGGGAAUGGGUAAUUGGGUUAUUGUUGGUUGGUGGAAAUUAAAUAUGAUUAUUUAUUGUGGGUUGAAAACCCUAUAUGCUCACCAGGCUCCCAAGCCUGACCCACUCAGUUUUAUUUGUAUUACAGGAAGUGGCGCG